UAUUGGGCAAUGGGCGCAAGCCUGACCCAGCAACGCCGCGUGAAUGAUGAAGGUCUUCGGAUUGUAAAGUUCUGUGACGGGGGACGAACACAAUGACGGUACCCCGAUAGCAAGCCACGGCUAACUACGUGCCAGCAGCCGCGGUAAUACGUAGGUGGCAAGCGUUAUCCGGAAUGACUGGGCGUAAAGGGUGCGUAGGUGGUUUGGCAAGUUGGCGGCGUAAUUCCGAGGCUCAACCUCGGCGCUACCGCCAAAACUGUCUAACUUGAGUGCAGGAGGGGUAAGUGGAAUUCCUAGUGUAGCGGUGGAAUGCGUAGAUAUUAGGAGGAACAUCAGCGGCGAAGGCGACUUACUGGACUGUAACUGACACUGAGGCACGAAAGCGUGGGGAGCAAACAG
rnacentral:rRNA from 1 species